rnacentral:rRNA from 1 species
UACAGAGGUGGCAAGCGUUGUUCGGAAUUACUGGGCGUAAAGGGCGCGUAGGCGGCCUUCUAAGUCAGACGUGAAAUCCCCCGGCUUAACCUGGGAACUGCGUCUGAUACUGGAGGGCUUGAGUAUGGGAGAGGGAUGUAGAAUUCCAGGUGUAGCGGUGAAAUGCGCAGAUAUCAGGAGGAACACCGGUGGCGAAGGCGGUUCUCUGGGCCUUACCUGACACUGAGGAGCGAAAGCGUGGGGAGCGAACAGG